rnacentral:rRNA from 1 species
UAGGGAAUCUUCCACAAUGGACGAAAGUCUGAUGGAGCAAUGCCGCGUGAGUGAAGAAGGGUUUCGGCUCGUAAAACUCUGUUGUUAAAGAAGAACACCCUUGAGAGUAACUGUUCAAGGGUUGACGGUAUUUAACCAGAAAGCCACGGCUAACUACGUG